rnacentral:rRNA from 1 species
UACGAAGGGGCUAGGCGUUGCUCGGAAUCACUGGGCGUAAAGGGUGCGUAGGCGGGUUUUAAGUCAGGGGUGAAAUCCUGGAGCUCAACUCCAGAACUGCCUUUGAUACUGGGAGACUUCGAGUCCGGGAGAGGUGAGUGGAACUGCGAGUGUAGAGGUGAAAUUCGUAGAUAUUCGCAAGAACACCAGUGGCGAAGGCGGCUCACUGGCCCGGUACUGACGCUGAGGUGCGAAAGCGUGGGGAGCAAACAGG